rnacentral:lncRNA from 1 species
CGCAGACGCGUGGGGCUCGCAUGUACCCAAGACAGGAAAACUUCACGUUGGCCUGGAAACUUCUUCCAGGCUAAGCCUGAGUCUUCACCAGACACUGCAGCACGAAGGCCCUUCUGCCUUUUGGCUCGCCCUGGCCCAGAAUGCGCACCAGCCGGCAAGAGAAAGAGGCCCACUGCAAUAUGCUGUGAAGAAUACAUAAGAAGUCAAACUGUUGACCUCUUUUCCCCAGCCCGUUCCAAAACUACAUCCCUGAGGAGUUGUGCACCUCUACGGAAAGUUCAGAUGAAAGAGCUAAUUCCCCUUGAUCUCUCUUCUUGUUCAGAGUGGAGGAAAAACAUAUACCAUCCCUUCCAUCAAUCCUCAGCAUAACUUUGCCAGGGACACUGGUAACAAGCUACUUUUACCUCAGAAGUUGGAGAGUAUCACUUGACCCACAUUGUGUAUGUGUAAAUAUCUUUAUUCAGUGUAUAUACAAUAUAUUCUUAAUUUGACUCUCAAA